CAGUUGGAACUAUGCUAUCUUCUGGCAGCUCUCACGCACAAAGUCUGGUGAUCUCGUCCUUGGAUGGGGGGAUGGCUGCUGCGGUGAACCCCGCGAUGGAGAGCUAGGAGCUGCUGCUUCUGCAUAAUCUGCAAUUUCAGUUUGGAAACCGCCAAGGUCAUGGAUGAGAGUCACUGGAGUAGUGGAGUGUACGGUGCUUCAUCAGUUCUGAGAUCUGAAUGUAGUUUGCUCGCUCAAGUUGGAUUCCUGACUCUUCAGUUGGCGGCAACAAAUUUUAUCUCUGACAUUCAUGGUUCUGAGGAAUUAUCCAUUUUUUUGGGUGACCCUGAUAAACUACCGAGCAUCAGAAUCAACCUACGCAGGACGUUAAUUCUGUUUUGCUUAGAUUUCAUGUCUCCUUUGAUGCUAAGAUUUGGUGUGGUUAGCAGGAAAACAAUGGAGUGGUGGGCUGUUGAUGGAUUGUACUACUUCCGGACCUGAAAGGAGCAUUUUACAAUGGCACCGGGAAGCAGCUUUGUGACUGUAGUCCAAUAUGUGCAGUGGCAAUGCCCAAUAUCUCGAGAACUUGAUGAUCGAUCUUUAUUUCAACCGGAUUACAUCUUUGUUGCACAAUUGCAGUGAAGAUGUUACUGAGCUUGAUGUUAAACCUGAUGGGUCAUGGCGUGUGAAGGGUGAUGCCGCUACCAGAGAUCUAUCUUAGUGGCAUAUGCCUGAUGGUACUCUUUGUGACUCAAAGGAAGAUACAAACCCUGGUGUCGUUAGUGUUAAUGAGUUCAAGAGAGAGGGUACUUCUGAUGGACAUAGAACUUUGAAACUUGGAAUUAAAAAAACCCCUAAUGGAUUAUGGCAGGUUAGCAGU